CAGUGAGGAAGGCGGGUACGUUAAUUAGCGUGCUUGGUUUGACGUUAGCUGCAGAAGAAGCACCGGCUAACUCCGUGCCAGCAGCCGCGGUAAUACGGAGGGUGCGAGCGUUAAUCGGAAUUACUGGGCGUAAAGCGCAUGCAGGUGGUUUGUUAAGUCAGAUGUGAAAGCCCGGGGCUCAACCUCGGAAUUGCAUUUGAAAACUGGCAGACUAGAGUACUGUAGAGGGGGGUAGAAUUUCAGGUGUAGCGGUGAAAAUGCGUAGAGAUCUGAAGGAAUACCGGUGGCGAAGGCGGCCCCCUGGACAGAUACUGACACUCAGAUGCGAAAGCGUGGGGAGCAAACAGGAUUAGAUACCCUGGUAG
rnacentral:rRNA from 1 species